GGAAGGGGUGUAUUUAUUAGAUAAAAAACCAAUGCCCUCACGGGCUCCUUUGGUGAUUCAUAAUAACUUAACGAAUCGCAUGGCCUUGCGCCGGCGAUGGUUCAUUCAAAUUUCUGCCCUAUCAACUUUCGAUGGUAGGAUAGUGGCCUACCAUGGUCUUAACGGGUAACGGAGGAUUAGGGUUCGAUCCCGGAGAGGGAGCCUGAGAAACGGCUACCACAUCCAAGGAAGGCAGCAGGCGCGCAAAUUACCCAAUCCCAACACGGGGAGGUAGUGACAAUAAAUACUGAUACGGGGCUCUUUUGGGUCUCGUAAUUGGAAUGAGUACAAUCUAAAUCCCUUAACGAGGAACAAUUGGAGGGCAAGUCUGGUGCCAGCAGCCGCGGUAAUUCCAGCUCCAAUAGCGUAUAUUAAAGUUGUUGCCGUUAAAAAGCUCGUAGUUGAACCUUGGACCGGGCUGAUCUGUCCUCCUAAUCGAGCGCACGGAUUCGGUCUGGUCUUUCCUCCUGGGGAGCCCCAUGUCCUUCACUGGGUGUGGUGGGGAACCAGGACUUUUAC
rnacentral:rRNA from 1 species